GGCAGCAGCUAAGAAUAUUCCGCAAUGGACGAAAGUCUGACGGAGCGACGCCGCGUGGAUGAUGAAGGCCGGAAGGUUGUAAAAUCCUUUUAUGACUGAGGAAUAAGUGAAGUGAGAGAAACGCUUCAUGGUGACUGUAGGUCAUGAAUAAGCAACGGCUAAUUACGUGCCAGCAGCCGCGGUAACACGUAAGUUGCGAGCGUUGUUCGGAAUUAUUGGGCGUAAAGGGUAUGUAGGCGGUUCUGCAAGUCUGGUGUGAAAUGCCGGGGCUCAACCCCGGAACUGCGUUGGAAACUGCAGGACUUGAAUCGCUGAGGGGCAGCCAGAAUUCCAGGUGUAGGGGUGAAAUCUGUAGAUAUCUGGAAGAAUACCAAUGGCGAAGGCAGGCUGCCAGCAGAUGAUUGACGCUGAGGUACGAAGGUGCGGGGAGCAAACAGGAUUAGAUACCCUGGUAGUCCGCACAGUCAACUAUGUACACUGGGUGUCCGUGCAUGAGCAUGGGUGCCGAAGCAAACGCGAUAAGUGUACCGCCUGGGGAGUAUGCCCGCAAGGGUGAAACUCAAAGGAAUUGACGG
rnacentral:rRNA from 1 species